UACAACACCCCUCAUUUUGAUGUCACCACAAACGACUUCAACAAUGACAGUCUCCGAAUGAAGUGUGUAGCAAACAGAGCAGAGGAAGAAUUCCGUUUGAGUUGUCAGGCAAUGGUUUUGAAGGUGAAUUCCUAGGAUUUUACAUGGUCUGUAUCUAGACCGCUCAUGUCCAAUCACAGGCUGAUCUUCUCUUCCUGACACAUGAGUCCAGCAUCAUCCCCACCACCCACCCACCCACCUCUGACUGAGACCAGGGUUGUGAUUCCUGGCACGAAAUGAAGGAAAAUGGUCCGAAACGGAGUGAUGCGGCAAGGCUGUCACGACUUCUGCCGAAGUCGGUCCCUCUCCUUGUCCGGGCGGCGC